rnacentral:rRNA from 1 species
UUCUUUAAGAGCUUAUUUAAAGUAUAACCUGCUCAAUGUUAAAAAUAAAUAGCCGCAGAACAUUCUGUGCUAAGGUAGCAUAAUCACUUGCUUUCUAAAUAAAAGAUAGAAUGAAGGGUUGAACGAUAAAAUACUGUUUCUUAUUAUUAAAAUAAAUUAUUAUUAAUGUUAAAAAACAUUAAUUAAAUAACAAGACGACAAGACCCUAACAAACUUAAAAUUUUGGUUGGGGUGACAAAUAAAAAAAACCUUAAUUUAAAUUAAUUCACAAUAUUAUAAUAAAAUAAAGAAUAGUUACUGUAGGGAUAACAGCGCAAUAUUUUCUUAGAGCUCUCAUCCAAGAAAAAGAUUACGACCUCGAUGUUGAAUUAAUUAAUCUAUAUAGCGCAAAAGCUAUAAAAGUCAGUCUGUUCGACUACUAAUAAAUU